rnacentral:rRNA from 1 species
AUUGAACGCUGGCGGCAGGCCUAACACAUGCAAGUCGAGCGGAUGAAGGGAGCUUGCUCCUGGAUUCAGCGGCGGACGGGUGAGUAAUGCCUAGGAAUCUGCCUUGUCGUGGGGGAUAACGUCCGUAAACGGGCGCUAAUACCGCAUACGUCCUGAGGUAGAAAGUGGGGGAUCUUCGGACCUCACGCUAUCAGCUGAGCCUAGGUCGGAUUAGCUAGUUGGUGAGGUAAAGGCCUACCAAGGCGACGAUCCGUAACUGGUCUGAGAGGAUGAUCAGUCACACUGGAACUGAGACACGGUCCAGACUCCUACGGGAGGCAGCAGUAGGGAAUAUUGGACAAUGGGCGAAAGCCUGACCCAGCAAUGCCGCGUGUGUGAAGAAGGUCUUCGGAUUGUAAAGCACUUUAAGUUGGGAGGAAGGAAAGUAAGUUAAUCCAUUGCUGUUUUGACGUUACCAACAGAAUAAGCCACGGCUAACUUCGUG